GAAGAAGCUCCUGGAUCCUGGCUUCAGAUUGGCUCAGUUCCAGACUUCUUCCUGGAAGGCUGGAUUCUAGAUCCGAACUCCUUCACGUCUGUGGAGUGAGAUGAUACCUCUCCUAAGAGGGCUGGGACCACCAGGCUUGCGGGCAGGAGGAGGCAGAUAUCUCAUCCAUUGUUCUAUACACCAAAUGCUUUUGAGAUCUGAAGGCCAUAAACCAGGAGCCAGGAACUCAGUCUGGGUCUGCCUUGUGGAUGGCAGGAAACCAAGUGCUUGA